UUAAGAUACGUCAAUGUGUUUUCUAAGAAAGACUACUAAUUUGCAGUUUGUAUCUUCUCCUAAAAUAUUUUGUAGAUCUGAGCAUGUAUUCAUACCUGAAUAUGUGCCAGGCAUUCCCCAGUAUGUGUAUAAUUGUUUACUAGGCCUGUAAGCUUCCCCACUACAUCAUUGCCGCUAUGUUAGCGCUUCCCAGCUAUUAUUCGAGAGAGAUAAGUGUUUCUCAUGAUCAAUUAGGUUGAGAUUGUUUAGCGUUAAUGUUUUUGAGUCCCCCAUUUUUAAUUCCUGACAGAGCGCUUCAAUGUAUGUUUAUUUUUGGUUUGCCGCUAUUUAUCACCACAAGCAAAAACAUCACGCCACUGGGAUUAACCUGAAGCUCACCUCAUGAUUAACGACGCUGCCGUCCACUGUCUUAAGGUGGGCCUACGUUCAUGGGUACUUGUCUAGUGGUUCUGGAGUUGAUGUUGCUGAGAUAACCGAGACGCCGAUUUCUACGAUGGCCUCUGUCAGCAUCAUGGUCGAUUACAGCUGGCCUGAGCCCGAACCAGGCCAAUCAACGUGCUGGCCCGAACCAGGCCAAUCAACGUGCUGGCCCGAGCCCGGCCCGGGCCCACAGUCAAAAGUCCGAGCCCAUCCCAGGCCUGGGCUUUCGGCUCAGCAAAGUCUGCGGAUCUGGUUAUGCUUCCUGUACGAGACAGAUCACGAAGUGGUAGCUGACUGACCAGUUGGGGCGAAAAUUUGUGUGGGAAGGACGUAAGAGAAAGUUGACAUUCAGGAACCUUCACCUUGCUGAGUGCAUCAUAAAUGCAGUGCAGAGCUGCCAUAAAUGUGAAGACUUCAAGGUAGAAACCAUGGUCACAGAUUAACUUCGCCACGCACCUGCCUGACAUCAGUCAUCUCAAAUGGAACAUUCUGCACCACAGGAGAGAGAGAUGUGAACUGCCUUAAGUGGGCCUUGAAUGUGCUGAGCUUUUUAUUAUGUUUAUCAGACAUUUUUUUAAGCAAAGUAUCCUGCAUUGUUCAGUAAGUAUACUUCAUUUUGAAAACCUCAUGCUGUCUAUGCAGCAUUGUUCAAAAAUUAUACUUUAUUUUAAAAGCAUCAAGCACUGCUCGUCUGUCUAACAGUAACAAUAAAGAGUUAAUGG